GAUGAACGCUGGCGGCGUGCCUAAUACAUGCAAGUCGAGCGAACGGACGAGAAGCUUGCUUCUCUGAUGUUAGCGGCGGACGGGUGAGUAACACGUGGAUAACCUACCUAUAAGACUGGGAUAGCUUCGGGAAACCGGAGCUAAUACCGGAUAAUAUUUUGAACCGCAUGGUUCAAAAGUGAAAGACGGUCUUGCUGUCACUUAUAGAUGGAUCCGCGCUGCAUUAGCUGGUUGGUAAGGUAACGGCUUACCAAGGCAACGAUGCAUAGACGACCUGAGAGGGUGGUAGGCCACACUGGAGCUGAGACACGGACCAGACUCCUAAGGGAGGGAGCAGUAGGGAAUCUGCGGCAAUGGGCGGAAGCCUGACGGAGCAACGCCGCGUGAGUGAUGAAGGUCUUCGGAUCGUAAAACUCUGUUAUUAGGGAAGAACAUAUGUGUAAGUAACUGUGCACAACUUGACGGUACCUACUCAGAAAGCCACGGCUAACUACGUG
rnacentral:rRNA from 1 species